GCAUAUCAAUAAGCGGAGGAAAAGAAAAUAACAAUGAUUCCUCUAGUAACUGCGAGUGAAGAGGGAAAAGCUCAAAUUUUAAAUCUGUUAGGUUUACCUAACCGAGUUGUAAUUUGAAGAAGCGUUUUCUGCGAUUUUGGUUAGUUCAAAUCCUUUGGAAUAAGGUAUCAUGGAGGGUGAGAAUCCCGUUCGGUUAACCAAAGCGCUUUACGAUACGCUUUCAAAGAGUCAAGUUGUUUGGGAUUGCAGCUUAAAAUGGGAGGUAAAUUUCUCCUAAGGCUAAAUAUUGGCGAGAGACCGAUAGCGAACAAGUACCGUGAGGGAAAGAUGAAAAGAACUUUGAAAAGAGAGUUAAACAGUACGUGAAAUUGUUGAAAGGGAAACGAUUAAAGUCAGUCGUACCUACGAGUAAUCAACCUACUCGAGUGCGAUUUUGUGGGUAUGUUAGAGUUUAAACCUUCAUGCUUACAAAUUGGUGCUCUUUGGGCGUACUUUCUCGUAUGGUAGGUUAACAUCAAUUUCGGUCGUUAUAAAAUGACUGGAGGAAUGUAGCUUCGAUUUCGGUUGAAGUGUUAUAGCCUUUGGUAGAUGUAAUGAUUGAGAUUGAGGAUUGCAACGGAUACCCUCUGGGCUAUUCGUCUGAUCUCUGGAAGUUACCUUGGUGUCGAAAGCGUGCUUAUGGCAUUAAGGUUGACGGCCAAUAGGUUAGAACGUGAUUAAAUUCGUUAAGGAUGUUGACGUAAUGGCUUUAAACGAC
rnacentral:rRNA from 1 species